CCUACGGGAGGCAGCAGUGAGGAAUCUUGGUCAAUGGGCGCGAGCCUGAACCAGCCAAGUCGCGUGAGGGAAGACGGUCCUAUGGAUUGUAAACCUCUUUUUUCGAGGAGCAAAAGACGCCACGCGUAGCGUUCCGAGAGUACCCGAAGAAAAAGCAUCGGCUAACUCCGUGCCAGCAGCCGCGGUAAUACGGAGGAUGAGAGCGUUAUCCGGAUUGAUUGGGUUUAAAGGGUGCGCAGGCGGAAGAUCAAGUCAGCGGUAAAAUUGAGAGGCUCAACCUCUUCGAGCCGUUGAAACUGUUUUUCUUGAGUGAGUGAGAAGAAUGUGGAAUGCGUGGUGUAGCGGUGAAAUGCGUAGAUA
rnacentral:rRNA from 1 species